rnacentral:rRNA from 1 species
CGCGGCCUAUCAGCUUGUUGGUGGGGUGAUGGCCUACCAAGGCGACGACGGGUAGCCGGCCUGAGAGGGUGUCCGGCCACACUGGGACUGAGAUACGGCCCAGACUCCUACGGGAGGCAGCAGUGGGGAAUAUUGCACAAUGGGCGCAAGCCUGAUGCAGCGACGCCGCGUGGGGGAUGACGGCCUUCGGGUUGUAAACCUCUUUCACCAUCGGCGAAGCCCAUAGCUUGUGUUGUGGGUGACGGUAGGUGGAGAAGAAGCACCGGCCAACUACGUGCCAGCAGCCGCGGUAAUACGUAGGGUGCGAGCGUUGUCCGGAAUUACUGGGCGUAAAGAGCUCGUAGGUGGUUUGUCGCGUUGUCCGUGAAAUUCCCUGGCUUAACUGGGGGCGUGCGGGCGAUACGGGCAGACUGGAGUACUGCAGGGGAGACUGGAAUUCCUGGUGUAGCGGUGGAAUGCGCAGAUAUCAGGAGGAACACCAGUGGCGAAGGCGGGUCUCUGGGCAGUAACUGACGCUGAGGAGCGAAAGCGUGGGGAGCGAACAGGAUUAGAUACCCUGGUAGUCCACGCCGUAAACGGUGGGUACUAGGUGUGGGUUUCCUUCCUUGGGAUCCGUGCCGUAGCUAACGCAUUAAGUACCCCGCCUGGGGAGUACGG